ACACAGUAACACAGUAACGCAGUAACACAGUAACACAGUAACACAGUAACGCAGUAAGGCAGUAACGCAGUAACGCAGUAACGCAGUAACACAGUAACGCAGUAACACAGUAACGCAGUAACACAGUAACGCAGUAACGCAGUAAGGCAGUAACACAGUAACGCAGUAACGCAGUAAGGCAGUAACGCAGUAACUCAGUAACGCAGUAACGCAGUAACGCAGUAACUCAGUAACGCAGUAACGCAGUAAGGCAGUAACGCAGUAACGCAGUAAGGCAGUAACACAGUAACGCAGUAACGCAGUAAGGCAGUAACGCAGUAACGCAGUAACGCAGUAAGGCAGUAACACAGUAACGCAGUAACACAGUAACGCAGUAACACAGUAACACAGUAACGCAGUAAGGCAGUAACCCAGUAACGCAGUAACGCAGCUCUAUGAGCUGAAGGUAGUACUGCGGAGGUGAUGUCCCACAACUUAAGUGUUAUCUUCUCCUGUACCUGUCUGGCAGGUAUGCCACGUGGGAGUUGGACAGGAAGGAUAUAUCAAUAUGAACAUGCUAGUGGCCACUCCGUUGGAGGAGAAAUUCCACGUGGUUGAAAUGAGGACCCACCACCCUACCAAGGGCUUCCGACUCCCGUUUCACGAAAAGGUCAUUAGCUGAAUAGAAAGGGGAGAUGGGAGACUUCGGCUCCCGUUUCACGAAAAGGUCAUUAGCUGAAUAGAAAGGGGAGAUGGGAGACUUCGGCUCCCGUUUCACGAAAAGGUCAUUAGCUGAAUAGAAAGGGGAGAUGGGAGACUUCGGCUCCCGUUUCACGAAAAGGUCAUUAGCUGAAUAGAAAGGGGAGAUGGGAGACUUCGGCUCCCGUUUCACGAAAAGGUCAUUAGCUGAAUAGAAAGGGGAGAUGGGAGACUUCGGCUCCCGUUUCACGAAAAGGUCAUUAGCUGAAUAGAAAGGGAGAUGGGA